rnacentral:lncRNA from 1 species
GAAAACUGCUUAUUUAUUAAGGAUAAAAAUAAUAUUUCCUAGAGACUUGACUUUUUAAUAUCCAAAGAAGCAUAAAAACAAUAUCGGUAUACUACCUUUGACAGAAGAAUUGUGUUCUGCAGAAAUCCAUGCCCAUGAACAGAAAGCUCAAGAUAAUUUGUCAGUUCUAGUGCAAUUCUUGUUUCUUUAUUCCCAUCAUCCAAACUACUUAAUGCCUUCUGGGAUCUGCUUUUAACACACACACAGCCCCCUGGCCUCCUAGGACUGAUCCCAAGGAUCUUGGUUGGGCUUAUAUACUGAACUCUGCCUUACAUUUUAGAGUGCUU